rnacentral:rRNA from 1 species
GAUGAACGCUGGCGGCGUGCCUAAUACAUGCAAGUCGAGCGAACAGACGAGGAGCUUGCUCCUCUGACGUUAGCGGCGGACGGGUGAGUAACACGUGGAUAACCUACCUAUAAGACUGGGAUAACUUCGGGAAACCGGAGCUAAUACCGGAUAAUAUAUUGAACCGCAUGGUUCAAUAGUGAAAGACGGUUUUGCUGUCACUUAUAGAUGGAUCCGCGCCGCAUUAGCUAGUUGGUAAGGUAACGGCUUACCAAGGCAACGAUGCGUAGCCGACCUGAGAGGGGGGUCGGCCACAUGGGAAGAGGGCACGGGUCAGAGCCCCACGGGAGGGAGCAGGUGGGGAUUUUUCGGCAGUGGGCGAAAGCCUACCGAAGAAACGCCGGGUGAGUAAUAAAGGUCUUCGGAUCGAAAAACUCGUUUAUUAGGGAGAAACAAAUGUGUAAGUAACUAUGCACGUCUUGACGGUACCUAAUCAGAAAGCCACGGCUAACUACGUG